rnacentral:rRNA from 1 species
UCGAGNAUAGUCUACAAUGGCCGAAAGGCUGAUAGUGCGACGCCGCGUGAACGAAGAAGCCCUUCGGGGUGUAAAGUUCUUUUAUAUGUGAGCAAUGCCUUUUAUGUGAAUAGCAUGAGAGGAGCGAUAUUAGCAUAUGAAUAAGCAACGGCUAACUCCGUGCCAGCAGCCGCGGUAAUA